rnacentral:rRNA from 1 species
AUUCCAGCUCCAAUAGCGUAUACUAAAGUUGUUGCAGUUAAAAAGCUCGUAGUUGGAUUUCUGUCUGAGAUGAACGGUCGGAACGUAAGUUCUUUGCACUUGUUAAUCAUUUUGGACUUCCUUGGUAUUAAUCUAUAUGGUAUUUAUUUAUCGUGUAGGGGAGUAUCAUCAUUUACUGUGAGCAAAAUAGAGUGUUCAAAGCAGGCUUAGGCCCGAAUACAUUAGCAUGGAAUAAUAAGAUAGGACUUUGGUCUAUUUUGUUGGUUUACAUUCCAAAGUAAUGAUUAAUAGGGAUAGUUGGGGGUAUUCGUAUUCAAUUGUCAGAGGUGAAAUUCUUGGAUUUAAUGAAGACGAACUACUGCGAAAGCAUUUACCAAGGAUGUUUUCAUUG